GUGGUAAUGCCGGAUGCUCCAUCACACUGCAUGGUGUGUUGGGAAAGCCUUUGCGGCAUGGGAUGGGGUCGCGUCCUAUCAGCUUGAUGGCGGGGUAACGGCCCACCAUGGCUUCGACGGGUAGCCGGCCUGAGAGGGCGACCGGCCACAUUGGGACUGAGAUACGGCCCAGACUCCUACGGGAGGCAGCAGUGGGGAAUAUUGCACAAUGGGCGCAAGCCUGAUGCAGCGACGCCGCGUGAGGGAUGGAGGCCUUCGGGUUGUAAACCUCUUUUGUUAGGGAGCAAGGCAUUUUGUGUUGAGUGUACCUUUCGAAUAAGCACCGGCUAACUACGUGCCAGCAGCCGCGGUAAUACGUAGGGUGCAAGCGUUAUCCGGAAUUAUUGGGCGUAAAGGGCUCGUAGGCGGUUCGUCGCGUCCGGUGUGAAAGUCCAUCGCUUAACGGUGGAUCCGCGCCGGGUACGGGCGGGCUUGAGUGCGGUAGGGGAGACUGGAAUUCCCGGUGUAACGGUGGAAUGUGUAGAUAUCGGAAAGAACACCA
rnacentral:rRNA from 1 species